rnacentral:rRNA from 1 species
UACGUAGGGUGCAAGCGUUGUCCGGAAUUAUUGGGCGUAAAGAGCUCGUAGGCGGUUUGUCGCGUCUGCUGUGAAAAUCCGGGGCUCAACCCCGGACUUGCAGUGGGUACGGGCAGACUAGAGUGUGGUAGGGGAGACUGGAAUUCCUGGUGUAGCGGUGAAAUGCGCAGAUAUCAGGAGGAACACCGAUGGCGAAGGCAGGUCUCUGGGCCACUACUGACGCUGAGAAGCGAAAGCAUGGGGAGCGAACAGG